rnacentral:lncRNA from 1 species
CUAGUAAACAAAGAAUAGAGACAAAAGUAGAACGAGUUCAAACUGUCAAAACAGUUCACUUUACAGCGAAAGUGGUGUUUUAAUUUUGAUCAAUGCGAGAAUAUUGCGUUUUUCAUCUAAUCUAUUGGAGAAUAGUGAACGUUUUAGUGCACUCCAUGCUUUGCAAUUAAGGCUGCUGCAGCAAACGUUUUAGUGUACUCCAUUGCUUUGCAAUUAAGGCUGGUGCAGCAAACUAAGGCUGGUGCAGCAAACUGCGCCAGCAUCUGAGUGGGAUUGAUUAGUUAACUUGCUAAAGGAGGCUGCUUGGAGCAGAACCGAUAUGAUUGUGAUAAAAUGCUGUAAAUAUAAUAAUAAAAAAACAUUUCGGCUUUGGCACGCCCUGUAUACACAAAAUGCAGCGAUUCGUCGCAGCGUUACAUUUGCAUCUACGCAUAACGAGAUGGGGCACCAUGGCACACUUCAUGGAAGGACAACAGCGCGAAUCGGAGCCAUGCAGUGUGCAUGAGUGCAGUACUACCAACAGCUGUUCCUGCAAAUCGUGAAUAUCGUGAAGCAUCUGGAACGCAACUAUUAUUUCGUACCUUGGUCGUUUACGCAACAUACCUGAAGAGCUGGAACAAAGAUAUAAAUCACAGGGAUUGAUCCGGCCCAAUAAAUAUGCAGGGAAAACUUUUGCUUUUUGUCGCAGGCGAAUCGAGAAAAUCUACUUUCCUCAAAGAGAUGCGUAUAAUACGUGGCAUUAUUUAUGAACUCGAACUUAUUCCAGAAUACAGUGAGAAGUGAUAUAUCAAAAUGUAUUACGAGGAAAGCACGUAUUGAUUGAUGCUCGUCAAAAACUGGGAAUCCCAUAGGGAAACACCGAACAAGAAACAAUGCGAAAUAGGCGAAAUUAAUUGAAUGUAGUAAAGUGGAAAUCGACAAUUUCAUACAGUGGGCUCCAUAUAUUCGUAGACUAUGGCAAGAUCCUUUUGUAGUUUUCUACUUCAAUAUUGACAUAACUCCAAAACCAAACGCUCGAAAAAACUGUUUUUAAGUUUUGAAUUUUACCUUAAUUUAGAAAGGCCCCUAUCGUCGCUGAAAUAUAAAAAAGCCAUAACUAACUAUAAUUUAUAUUGCAUAAACGAUGAAACGCAUCAUAAUCAAUCGAAAAGCGAGUUUUGCAUAUUGAGUUAGUUACGGCAUUUUGUAUUUUAACGACGAUGUGAGAUAUGGCCCUUCUAUGUUAAGGUAACGAUAUACUCCCAUAUCAAAAAUGAAUACUUAUUUUGCUCUACUGAGCUAGUGGUAAUCAGUGCAGGGGGAGAUUCCGUAACCAGUUAGCGACAAUUUGCGAAUCGCUAACUGGUUAUAAGAUCUCCCACCAGAUAUGAAAGUACACAACAUAGAAGAGCAGUUAGCAUCCAUUUCUCUAUACUUAACUCGAUUUUGUAUUAUAUUGGACAUUGAGAUUAUGACACUAUUGAAGUAAAUGAGCAAUAUGUAAACACAAAUUUUUUUGUCUUUUUGUUAAUUUAAUUUGCGGCCCUGAAAAGGGCCUUUUGCACAUUUCCAUAUACAUAUGCAUGUAAACACAAAAAUGAUGGCCUAAUUUAAUUUGUACUUUUGAAAGCAUAAAUAAUUGUCUCUUUGUAAAUUAAUUGGCGGCCCUGAAAAGGGCCUUUGAUUCAUUCAUGUUAUUCUCCUGCAAAUAAAUAAAUAUGGAUAUUUUUUUAUACAAGAUGCCAGAUUAUUUGUUAAACUCAUAGGCUUACGUUGCAUCCAUGCCUUA